rnacentral:rRNA from 2 species
AACCGACACAGGUGGUCAGGUAGAGAAUACUCAGGCGCUUGAGAGAACUCGGGUGAAGGAACUAGGCAAAAUGGUGCCGUAACUUCGGGAGAAGGCACGCUGGCGGUAGGUAAAGUCCCUCGCGGACGGCGCUGAAGCCAGUCGAAGAUACCAGCUGGCUGCAACUGUUUAUUAAAAACACAGCACUGUGCAAACACGAAAGUGGACGUAUACGGUGUGACGCCUGCCCGGUGCUGGAAGGUUAAUUG